GAAGAAGGAUCGUUCUCCAUCAAAGCCAGAUAUCCUGCAGACCUCGGCGUCUUCGUGAACAAGGCCAGCAUUAUACGGUGGAUUGGAAGUUAACAUGAGGAUGACCAGAACCGCAUGGAAUUGUGAUUGAGUUAGCAGAUCCUCUGUAGAGCUGACCUUCAAUCCAACCUAUGUUAAAAAGUUCUCUCAAGCCCAAACUCAAUCACAGGGAGACCAUGAUGCCUGGAUGUCCGGGUUCACAGCCUCAGAAUGACCUCUGCGUGGAUUUGUCAGACUCAAAGUGAUGCAUGCUAACCCUGACCUCAACCAGACACCGGAGUGACAGCAGUAUUAAAGACAGACUCCCUCAUCCUACAUCCUUGAAGAGUAGUUAGCAGCCAUUUUCUGCCCACAGCCUCUCUGAAAUGUUCGCAGGGUGAAGAAUGAUUUUAUCUAUACCUCUUGUCACCCACAAGCCCCCACCACCAACACACUGUGUGAAACAAGAAGGCUGUCACGUACAUAGCUUGGGAAAAUGUGCACGUGCUAAAAGCACACACCACAGACACUCACAUAAAUACACACCUUCUGUUGAAAAUCUGUGUUGUUAUGUGUACAAAGCCCCUCAUUUUUUACCAGAAGUAAUAGAAAAUCAAAACAUUGUGCAUUGUACAUUACUGUAUUGUAACUUCUGUGUCAACUUGGAUGUGUGUGUGCAAGCUCAUGCAGAUGUAUGUAUCACUGCAUGUGUUUUCAAGGUCAGUGGCCUUAAACGGGCUCUUGGUCGAAGAGGCACUUCUGUCCGAAGAGGCCGAUUGAAAUUACUGCAGCUCAUUUAUCAGGAAAAUGUGUCACUCCAGGGGUCAUCCUCCAACUGAGUUGGAGGCCAAUUGCUCUGUCUCUGUGUAGAACUGGCCAGCACCUGAAUAGCAAGUGUGAUGUCCUGCAGUAAUGAUACACUGUCCUCAUCAAGCUCCGGUGACACACUACUCUCUCUCUCAGAUACUGGAACGUUUACUCACAAGUAAGGUGUUUUCACCAACACUGGCCUAAUUAAAAACAGAGAAAGAUGCAUCCUUGUGAACAGAGACGUAUGAUUGCAUGCGAAAGCACAGAUAGAACUUGCAGAGACAGAAACUUAUGAUUUGCCCUAGGGGAAAGGUCACCAAAGUCAGUAAGCUUCAUCCUACUCCUUGAUCCAAGUUCCAUAACCAUCUAGCCAAUAGUUUUAAUCAAACUGGACGAAAGAACUCUGUGAGAGGGUUAAUAGGUGAAUUGCUUCAGGCCAAGAAAGUAACUCUCUUGAUAAUGCUUUAGAUCACAGUGUUGGACAAUUAGACAGUUAGAAGUAAAGAUAAGUAAUUAUAAACAUAACCACCACUGUGUACCCACAAUAUGUACAGUGAGUUCAACAGUGACUUGAGGGAGUAGGA